AUGAACUCCGGGAGAGAGACCUGCUACGGGCGCCGAAGGGGACAAGGUGGAAAUUCCACCGAAACUCUCAGGCAAAAGUAUCCCGGGGGGACG
rnacentral:ncRNA from 2 species